rnacentral:rRNA from 1 species
GAAUUUUAUAUAGAUAAAUUAUUUUUUUUAGUUUAAUAAUAAUUGAUAUAUAUUUAAUUGGGAGGAUUGUUAAAUUAAAAAAACUUUAAUUAUAGAUAAUAUUAAUAAAUGAAUUUAAGAAUGGUUAUAUAAUUAAUAAAGAAUUAAUUACCUUAGGGAUAACAGCGUAAUAUUUUUGGAGAGUACAUAUUAAUAGAAAUGUUUGC